GAUGAAGAACGUAGUGAAAUGCGAUACGUAAUGUGAAUUGCAGAAUUCAGUGAAUCAUCGAAUCUUUGAACGCAUAUUGCGCUCUCUGGUAUUCCGGAGAGCAUGCUUGUUUGAGUAUCAGUAAACACCUCAACUCCCUUUUCUUUUUUGAAAUUGGAGCUGGACUUGAGUGAUCCCAACGCUUUCUUCCAAGAAAGUGGCGGGUUGCUUGAAAUGCAGGUGUAGCUGAACUUUUCUCUGAGCUAUAAGCAUAUCUAUUUAGUCUGCCUAAAAAACAGAUUAUUACCUUUGCUGCAGCUAACAUAAAGGAGACUAGUUCUUGUGCUGACUGAUGCAGGAUUCACAGAGACAGCUUCGGCUGACUUUGUAAACUCGAUCUCAAAUCAAGUAAGACUACCCGCUGAACUUAAGCAUAUCAAUAAGCGGAGGA
rnacentral:misc_RNA from 1 species